CGAUUGUAAGGUGAUCUUAUUGUCAUGUCGAUCACUGUAGGCGCAGUUGCGAGAAAUCUAAUCUGGCCCUUCUCCCUCAAACAGGGUUUGGUUGACAAAUCGAUUAUACAAUCAACCGCUCCAGCAGACGCAAGCCGGUCUGCGACAACAACUAUCAAACCAUCUGCAGAACGAAACCAAACUUUUCGAUAUGAGACUAACUCCCGUGCUCGUACACAUCAUGCAUAAUUUGCGGUAUGAACAUGAGAAAUGCAAAAGGUCGUAAGGUGGGGUCAAUGCAAAGGCUUUACGAUUCAUGUGACACUUGGAAACGGCUUGCAAAAGGUGAUGUUAAAGAUCUGUAUAUUACCUUCAUUUCUGUAGCAGCAAUUGCAGCAAAACCACGAUCGUCUAGUGGCUAGUGGUAGCUUUCUGCUAUUUCGUAUCGGAUCGGCACAACAGGUUUUCUUAUUAACAGAUUCUAAAAAAGCGUUGCCACUCUACACAACCACCUAACCCGGUGGACCCACACCCCAGGCAGCAAGGACACGUGGAUCGCAACGAGUGGGGUGGAGACAUCCCCAACAGAUGACGCACGGCCAAGGCUAUAUAUAGAGAACGUUUCCGAAGCACGAUGCGAUGCGGCGACUACUAUUAUUGCGUUUGAUAAUGAAAAAUAUGACGAAUGGCAAUGUCCAGGCGAUCAUUGCGAGCAUUGCGCGAACGGCGAAAAGACCUUCACCAAGGCGGGGCAAUGUACGUUGGGCUUUUCCAAUGUGCGGGGUUUAAAUCCACCACCAAGGUCGCGCAUAAAACGUUGUGACGGAGAUGCUU